GUCCCUCAGAGGGAAAACUCUCUACCUAAGCUCUUCAGCAGGUGGGGACAGAGGCCCAUCCCCCGCAUCAGCAGCAGAUGCAGAAACUGAGGCUGAAAAAUGGGAAGGCGACCCUCUGAUCUCCUUUCCCCCACACAGCCCCCUUGUCCAGGAAGGACUAUCUCCCCUCAUGUCCAGACACUGCAUGGCCCAGGGUACCGCAUAUAGUCCUGAUAUGACAAGUAGAUGAGCCCACUCUUCCACUAGGAGGCGCUGGAAUCUCUCCCUCAGGACACCCUCUGUGAGCUCGGCCUCUGGGACAGCAGCAACUCCAGCUGUGCGCUCUGGAGCCUGAACACAGCUUCUUUGUUGACCCCUCUUCACCCCGGACACAUGUCCUCAAGUUCAUCCAGGCUCUUGGGAGAUGGAGGACCUACAACAAACCAGGGGAACACUUGGUGCCAUUCCGCUGGUUCUUGAGAACCAGGAUGAAAGUUUACCCUGUGCCUGCUCUGUGGAGAGGAGCCCUGUGAGGAAAGCAAAGAAGGAUGAUUCCAUUUCCAGUGGGAAAGGGACC